AUGUCUUCGCGCAGCCUUCAGACGUGCACAGGGCAAAGCUGCCUGUGCAGGAGGGAGCAGUGGCUCCGCAGUCUGGGGCUCAGCGUGAGCAGAAGCUGGAGGCCUGCAGGACACGGUGCAGCGCUGGGGAAGGAGAGGGCCCAGCGUGCCGAGGAGCUCCUGGCGUCGCGGGCUGGCAGCCCUGCCCCGAUGCCUCUUCGCAAAGGGCCCGUCUCGUGCCCGGGGUGAUCCCAUGCCCUUGCUGCGCAGGCUGAGACGCUGGGGGCUCAACUGCUACAUGUACGCRCCCAAGGACGAGCUGAAGCACCGGCUGCUCUGGCGAGAGCCCUACACGGAGCAUGAGCCCAGCUGCAGUCCCUCAUCGCAGCCGCCCGCGAGCAYGGCGUGGAGUUUAUUUUUGCCAUUUCUGCGGGCCAGGACAUGGUGUUUUCCAGCGGUGGGGAUCGGCUCCUGCUGCAGCAAAAACUCAGGUGGCCGCGGCCGGAUGCCGCUCCUUCGCGCUGCUCUUCGACGACGUCGAUCCCCGCAUGUGCCGAGCGGACAGAGACGUCUUCGCCUCCCUGGCGCAGGCGCAGGCCUCCGUGGCCAACGAGAUGUACCGGGAGCUGGGCCAGCCUUCGGUCUUCCUCUUCUGCCCCACGGGUACCUUCCGCAGCGGCGCGGCCCCCGUCCCGUCCUCGGGGCCGGGACACCCCGCGCCACACCGGGGUGCCCUCAGCUGGGUGCACCCAGCACGUGUGCCCCGAGACCUUGCUGCCCUGGCAGCCCGCCGCUCCCCCGGGGUCCCCACGCUCCCAGGGGCACUUUGCAGCAGCCCUGGAGAUCUCAGGGCUGGGACAGGAGCAGGCUGCAGAGGGGCCAGUGCUUCCGCAGCUGCACACGCCGUACUGUCUGCACCGCACAUCUCCCUGUCUCCUAUCCGGCCCUUCCUCCCCCCCCCCGGCAGCACGGCGCCCCUGCCCUCAGGGGAUGCUCUGCGCUCACUCCCCAGAGUACUGCAGCUCUC
rnacentral:lncRNA from 1 species